UCGUGUACAACGUUUGACCGUCCAUCUUAUUUGAAAAAAUUAUGAAAAAAAUUUAAAAAAAAGUCACGCAUAAAAUAUUAAUCAUGUUUUAUCCUCUAACAACAAUGAAAAUACGAAUUAUAAAAAAAUUUCAUAUAAGACGGGCAGUUAAAGUUAGACACGGAAAAUCAUGGUUUGACUUUUU
rfam:Oryza sativa Japonica Group DNA, chromosome 1, cultivar: Nipponbare, complete sequence.